rnacentral:rRNA from 1 species
AACGAACGCUGGCGGCAGGCUUAACACAUGCAAGUCGAACGCCCCGCAAGGGGAGUGGCAGACGGGUGAGUAACGCGUGGGAAUCUACCCAGUUCUGCGGAACAACAGUUGGAAACGACUGCUAAUACCGCAUACGCCCUACGGGGGAAAGAUUUAUCGGAAUUGGAUGAGCCCGCGUUGGAUUAGCUAGUUGGUGGGGUAAUGGCCUACCAAGGCGACGAUCCAUAGCUGGUCUGAGAGGAUGAUCAGCCACACUGGGACUGAGACACGGCCCAGACUCCUACGGGAGGCAGCAGUGGGGAAUAUUGGACAAUGGGCGCAAGCCUGAUCCAGCCAUGCCGCGUGAGUGAUGAAGGCCUUAGGGUUGUAAAGCUCUUUCAGUAGGGAAGAUAAUGACGGUACCUACAGAAGAAGCCCCGGCUAACUUCGUGCCAGCCGCUGUAAUAC